rnacentral:snRNA from 1 species
AUACGUUUUUCAGUCUUUUGGCUAAGAUCAAGUGUAGUAUAUGGUUUUACCACUUUAAUGUCUGAUACGUGGAUAUUGAUCCAUAUGAUAUUAAAUUAAUUUGCAUCCACCAAUA